AAUGGAGGAAACUCUGAUGCAGCGAUGCCGCGUGAGUGAAGAAGGCCCUUGGGUUGUAAAGCUCUUUCGUCGGGGAAGAAAAUGACUGUACCCGAAUAAGAAGGUCCGGCUAACUUCGUGCCAGCAGCCGCGGUAAUACGAAGGGACCUAGCGUAGUUCGGAAUUACUGGGCUUAAAGAGUUCGUAGGUGGUUGAAAAAGUUGGUGGUGAAAUCCCAGAGCUUAACUCUGGAACUGCCAUCAAAACUUUUCAGCUAGAGUAUGAUAGAGGAAAGCAGAAUUUCUAGUGUAGAGGUGAAAUUCGUAGAUAUUAGAAAGAAUACCAAUUGCGAAGGCAGCUUUCUGGAUCAUUACUGACACUGAGGAACGAAAGCAUGGGUAGCGAAGAGGAUU
rnacentral:rRNA from 1 species